AAAUGGGUUUGGGCAAAUGCCAGAGCCAACCGCAGUAACUGUGGAGGCUUCAGACAAACUCUGCCCAGGAUUUAGCACCCCAGGGCAGGCAGCCACAGGCACACAAAGCCACAGAUGCACCUUGUUCUAUGCAACAAAAUAUUGAAAAACAAAACCCAGGUAUCAGCUCCUUUUGGUCAUUCCCAUCUGUGUUUGAUUCCUCAGUAAAUUAUUCUUUCCCUGCUCCUGAGACAAAAAUGAAAUUAAAUUUGGAGAAAUAACUCCCUCACGCACAAACAUUUUUGUGUGCUCACUUGUAUCUAAGGAACAGACAUUCCACGAGGGACCCGGGUGUCAAGAGUUGCAUCCCAGUUCAUGCAUGACAGGGACCUGGCAGCGGGACCCGUCCCCGCAGCUGGCUCUCCAACCCCUAGCCGGCACUGUGACCAUAGCAAAAUGCCAGAAGCCCAGAGAAGUGGGGUUUCUGAAGCAGAUCAUUUGUGCAGCCUGAGUACGUGCAGCGGGAACACACCUGGAGGUAAUUAAAAGGCUUUAUAGGGCAAUCAAGGCACCCUGAAAAACAACUUUUUAUUUAAAAGCCAAUAACGAGUUGUACAAGAAUGAAAACCUUAUCCCUUCCAAAGGAUCUGCCUAUAAAUUAUGUAUAAAAUUAGAAUAAUCCUAAACACAAAAUGCCAAAGACCGGCAGGGUCCACUCCUUCCUCUCCUAAGCCAUCUUGACAGUUUCACAUUUCGGUUUCCAGACGUUAUUUGUCUCGCUUUUAAGGGUGCUUACCCAGCCGUGGUGUGUACCAGACAGGGUUGUUGGCACGGCGUAGGCGCUGCCGGCAGGCCUUUGGGAGCUUGGCGAGGUGUGAGCCUUGAGAAAUAUCUGGCUCGGACCCAUGGUGAGGUUUGUGUGUCAACUCCCUGGUUCUCAGAGAAUCUCUGAGUCACAUGUGAGCAGACACUUCUUCCAAAACCAAAGGAGGAAUUUUGCAAUCAUUUGGACAGGUUAUAAUAGAAUCUCAUUCAGAUCUUGAAGGUUAUUGGUACUUUCUGCAAGUUUUUAUUCCUCAAAAAUACAGGAAGGCUUUGCUGUACUUAUCUUGGUAGAUCUGAGCUCUAGGUUGGACUAUCUUUUCCUAAUUCAACUGGCUUUUUUGCAAGGAAGGGGGUUUCUCAUCCAUCUGAGGGAUCAAGGGCAUGGUCUGUACAAAAAUAGACAUUCAGCAGACAGACGACAGCCAGCACAUGCGACCAGCGUCGUUUGGCUAUUUUAGUCUCUUCUUAAUACAUAGACAAACGAGCAAAGAAAAGGCUACUUUGUCCAACACGGGGCCCUGGGUUGGAGUUUAGCCCUGCUUGGUUCUGCCCGCUAGUCUCACAUCAGGUCGCUCACCUGGGGCCUGGGGGAACAGUGGUCUUGGUGGUCUUCUCUGGCCCUUCCACCUCUUCUCCCUUGUGGGGACCACCCAAGCCCUCUCCCCACUUGCCCAGAGGCUGCAUGCCUCUCUGGCAUCACAGUCUGCACAGGAACUGGCUGUAGGACUCCACUGAACUCCUGCCGGGGCUGGCUUUGUGCCCCAGGCACACCCACUUCACUUCUGCCUCCUUUCUGUUGGUUUCUGGCCUGUUUGGUCCCAGCCCCUCCCCGCACUCUCUCUGCAGCUGUGCCUGGUGGGUGAUAUGAACCAAGGGACACUGAGGAUCGUGGCAAUGCCUGGACUGUUUGGUAAUCGUCGGCAGUCUAUCCCUGGCUUCUGAGCCUGGGCCCUCCUCCUUGUUCUCCCUCUCCUGGAUGAGCAGGACAUGCUGGGGAGACAGGGUCCUACAAAGGCCUUGUAAGAGCUGGGCCCUGUGUCAGGAGAGCCUCCCGUAUCUCCAGGGAUGUCCCUGGAGCUCUCCAGCUGAUGCCUCUGCUGAGGUCCCUAAGUGGCAGGAACAGGACUCUAGGGGAGGAGUUGGGGACAGGCCUCUAAGGGGAGGGUGCACCUCGGGUCAGCUGCGCCUGCAGCUCACCAGCCCCCUACACCGGGGCUAGCUUCAGUCUCAGCAGUGUCUGCUCAACAGGUGUGGCUGCUGUCAACACAGUGGGGCCAGGCCCUGGAGACUGUGACAUCUUCUGUGGCUGCUUGUUUAAAGGACAUGGGUUGGAGAAAGACUAUGUUCUUUUAAAGCUGGACUACCCAACAGCCUCUGCUAGCAGAUACAGCUUUGCUGCUGUUCUUUAAGUUCAAGGUGAUGUGGAGGUGUUGCAGUGACAAUCAGGACACCAUGAGCAACAUGGGCCACCAAAGUCUACCCCGAAGUGCUCACACCUGGGCCUGCUUUGGCACUUAACACUGGGGCAAAGGUCCCUUUCUUGGGGACUCACCCUCCACUUCCAGUCUCCCCGGGAGUUAUCCUCUCACCUGCCUUCUAGGCCCUGCCAGCAGCUCCACGAGCACCUCUGCCCACCCCACUCCACCAUUGGCUUCAGCAGCCUGGCCCCGCCCAUGGCUCAGCCCCACCCAUAGUUCAUCCCGCCCAUGACUCCCACGCCUCCCAAGCCUCAGCCCACCCACAGCUUAUCCCUCCCACGGCUAGGCCCCGCCCACACUUCGUACCUCUCAAGGCUCAGCCCCGCCCCCAGCACCCCUCCCAUGGCUAGGCCCCGCCCCAGUUCCCUCCCCCAUGGCUAGGCCCUGCCCACGGCUCGGCAGCCUGGGCAGGCGUCGCGACGGGCAGCUCCACGACCAGGGACAGGAACCAGAGGUUUGUCUUUCGGAGUACCCCACCCCAGGAAGGAAGAGUUCAAGGCUUUCGGGCUGCUCCCCGACUCCAUGGGCUCCUCUUCCCCUCCUAAGGCCCCUCAGGGCCAGAAUCCCUGGCCCCCAGGACCUGGGGCAGCAGGCAAGGAGGCCUGUCUGCCUGGUGCUGUCUCCAUGGCACAGAACUACACUGCAGGGUUCCAGAAUCACAGAAUAGCCCGAUGGGCUGUCCCCAGCAAAGGGGCCUGGUGACCAGCACUGGACACGGCAUCAGCUGGUCACAGGCUUCAGAAUGCAUUGUUUUACCCAGGGAGCUUCAAGACGGACACUGGCUUUUAACAGAGCAGCCCUGCUGCACCAAAGGAGGACACGGCCGUUUACCUACGGACUAUUCUCCAUCAACCCCGAGGCAGGGAUGCCCUCUCCAUACCCAUAACCCAAAGCGCUAGGCCACUGGCUCCCAAGAGUGAGCAUGUCCUGCAGAAAUACCUUGGUUUAAUGAGAGGGAGCAGCUGCCAUAGAACGGAGGAUCUCCCCCAGCGAACAUGCAGGUACCUCACCUUCUGAGGGCUUUCGAGGGUGGACUGGUUCCUAGGACCUGCAGCUUUGAGCCGUCAGGCAGGGAGGUCCGGGACGGCGCCUCAGGGAGUGGACCUGGGCGGGUAGAGUGAUGAGGGCAGGGGUCUACAGAGGGCCUGUGUCAGUUACACAGUCCGUCAAGUUAUCAGCCAGUUCAGUGGAAAAAAAAUGGUUUUGGCAACUCACAGUCCAAAUGAGGAAAACACGUGCACAAGCUAGACCCUUGGCUGACUCGUUUCCACCCACUGUAGAAACAGAGCCUACGUGGAGACGGGCCAGGCAGCAAACUGCAGGGUGGAGCUCGUCCUCCACUUUGAUGGUGGCCCCAUCGCUGAGUGACUGGGAGAGGAUGGGUUGGGCUGGGCACACCUGUGUCCUCCUCCCACAGGGCAGGUGGACUUUCGAAGCUCCUCUCUCCCUUCCACAAGACACUGUGUUGGGGCCAUCAGCCUUCUGACCGACGUGGAGGAGGCCCCAGGCUCAGGCUGAGCUCCCAGGGGUGACUCAGAAGGCUGCCAUGCUGCAGAAGAGGCACCCAGGGAUUAGACUGUUUCCAUGAAAAGAAGCAUUGGGAGAAGGCAUCUGCUGUGUAAGGAGGGGCUUUCUAACGCUGGUCUCUCCUGAGACUGAGGCCAGCCCUGGCAGGGGUCCUGACAAGGGUGCUGUGGAGAUCUGGACACCAGGCCUGGGCUGUGCAGGGGUCUAGAUGCCCCUGAAGGCCCACCCAGGUCUAAGGCUCUUCCUCUUGAUGCCCUAGCAAGGGCUAAUCUCACACACAAGCAAGAGAUGGGCAUGGACACUGUGUGCUUACCCCAGGACCUCCCUCUUAGGCCUCUACAGCUGCUGCCUCCCAGGGCUCUGCACACCAAGCCCAGCUGUGGAGCUGUGAGUGCAGAGGCCACACACAUGGGGUGAUGGGGACUGUCCCAGGCAGCAGAUGCGACGUGCCCCAUCAGAGCCUGUGCUCUCCCUUGAAUGGCGGGCCUGCCUCCUCACUCUCCUCUCCUCUUCCCCUGGGUGACCCCACAGAGGCCAAGCCACCUGCUGGGCUUGGUAACAGACAUCGCCCUGCUGCUCUCAAAAGUGCGUGUGAUGCAGCUUUUGUGAUUAUAAUUUGGGAUUUAAAAAGUCUUCAUCUACGCAGUGACAGAAUCCACCAGACUCCUUCCUGGGAAGGGCAGCUCUGGAGGGCAGUUCUCCAGGGGGCAGGGAGGGUGACAGGGGAAAGGAUGGUGUGAGGGGCUGGGGCGUGGAGUAAGCUCAUGUGGGGACCUGGGUGUCUUUAGCUCCUCACUGGCUUGAGACGGGCCGUGUUUUUCCGUGGGGAUGGGGGAAGCUGGUCUCACAUCUUCCUAAGGCAUAGUGGGGCACGUCUGCCUGGCCUACUGGGCCGAGAUCGGGGGCAAAUCCUGGUUGUUGAGGGUGUCACCAGGAAGAGGGGGGUGGCGUUGGCGCUGGCUGCUGAUAGCAGCUCCUCACAGGUAAAGGUUGUGGGCAGGCUGCAAGGUGCUGUUGGAGAACAGGCUCCCUGGUGGCCCCGAGUUCAUGGAAGACGUGUCUGUUGGCACUGAAAAACCACCAUCCGAGCUGCAGCUGGAGAUGAGGAGAUGCGAGCCACUGGCCCUUCCCAGAGAAUGAAGCAAAGGCAUUUGGGAUUCCUUCAACAAACAAAAGCACAAAGAGAAAGAGAAGCGACGCAGAUAUUGAGGUGUUAAGUAGGUAUCAUCCUUCUUCUCCUAACACGAUAAAUUAUCUUUCCACUUGUAGUUCCUGUGUCCUCUGCUGCAUUGCCAUCACGGCAUGGAGGCAAUGACGGAGACCUAGACUGGAAAGUUCUUCUUCGUGGGCAGAGACAGGACGAUAAUGAUAUCGUCGGAGUCAUCGGAGUUGAUGUCAUCCCCAGGUGGAGGUGUCACGAGCUGUGACCCCGGGGGGGGGGGUCUGUGGAAAUGAACUGCAGAGAGAGGGGUCAGCCACACUGACCUCAGGGGCUGCCACUGCAGACACACUUUCACUGUCUGCUCUUCCCUGCAGGAUGGCGGCCACCCCCAGAAGCACAGAAACUACAACACUGGAGGAAGUGACAAGGACACAACCCAUCAGCUCACCAUUGUCCUCUUACACAACAGAUGGGAAUGACACCGCGACAGAGUCUUCAGAUGGCCUUUGGAAUAACAAUCAAACUCAACUGACCCAAGUAUAUAGUCCACAGAUGGCCACCACCACUAAGGAACUUUAUGCUGGACUCUGCAUUUCUGUCUUGGUACUUUUGCUCUUUUAGGUGCCAUCACUGCCAAAAUGGUCUGCCUUUUUCCUUAUUCGUGUUAUUCUUCAACAACUCUUUCUGCAGUAUUUCUUUUAGCAGCCUUCAAAUUAAAGCUUUGCAAAAUGCAGCUAAAAAGGAAGUCCAAGCAGAAGACAGUAUCUACAUUGAGAAUAAUCUUUAUGGCACGAACUGAGACCCAGUGGUGCUCUUCAAGAGUUUGCAUCCAUGACAGCAGAAGACAACAGAUAUCAGCAUAUCAGACAUCUUUUAGACUCCAAGAUGACAAUGUUUCUGUAUCAAUUUUUUCUGGCAUUCCAACAUGUCAGGACUGGGUAG